UACGUAGGCAGCAAGCGUUGUUCGGAAUUACUGGGCGUAAAGAGUGUGUAGGCGGUGCUCUAAGUCUGUUGUGAAAUCUCCCGGCUUAACUGGGAGGGUGCGGGCGGAGACUGGAGUGCUAGAGUGUGGGAGAGGUAAGCGGAAUUCCUGGGUGUAGCGGUGAAAUGCGUAGAGUAUACUGGGAGGAAUACCGGUGGCGAAGGCGGCAUCCUGGGAGCCGAACAUUGACGCUG
rnacentral:rRNA from 1 species